rnacentral:rRNA from 1 species
CAUAUCAAUAAGCGGAGGAAAAGAAACCAACAGGGAUUGCCCCAGUAACGGCGAGUGAAGCGGCAACAGCUCAAAUUUGAAAUCUGGCUCCCAGAGCCCGAGUUGUAAUUUGUAGAGGAUGCUUUUGAUGCGGUGCCUUCCGAGUUCCCUGGAACGGGACGCCAUAGAGGGUGAGAGCCCCGUCUGGUCGGAUGCCAAAUCUCUGUAAAGCUCCUUCGACGAGUCGAGUAGUUUGGGAAUGCUGCUCAAAAUGGGAGGUAUAUGUCUUCUAAAGCUAAAUACCGGCCAGAGACCGAUAGCGCACAAGUAGAGUGAUCGAAAGAUGAAAAGCACUUUGAAAAGAGGGUUAAAUAGUACGUGAAAUUGUUGAAAGGGAAGCGCCUAUGACCAGACUUGGGCCCGGUGAAUCAUCCAGCGUUCUCGCUGGUGCACUUUGCCGGGCACAGGCCAGCAUCAGUUUGUCUUGGGGGAAAAAGGCUUUGGGAACGUGGCUCCCCCGGGAGUGUUAUAGACCAUUGCAUAAUACCCUGAGAUGGACUGAGGUUCGCGCAUCUGCAAGGAUGCUGGCGUAAUGGUCAUCAGCGACCCGUCUUGAAACACGGACCAAGGAGUCGUCUUCGUAUGCGAGUGUUCGGGUGUAAAACCCCUACGCGUAAUGAAAGUGAACGCAGGUGAGAGCUUCGGCGCAUCAUCGACCGAUCCUGAUGUUCUCGGAUGGAUUUGAGUAAGAGCAUACGGGGCCGGACCCGAAAGAAGGUGAACUAUUCCUGUAUAGGGUGAAGCCAGAGGAAACUCUGGUGGAGGCUCGCAGCGGUUCUGACGUGCGAAUCGAUCGUCAAAUAUGGGAAUGGGGGCGAAAGACUAAUCGAACCUUCUAGUAGCUGGUU